UACGUAGCAGCGAGCGUUGUUCGGAGUUACUGGGCGUAAAGGGUGUGUAGGCGGCUUCGUAAGUUCGGUGUGAAAUCUCCCGGCUCAACUGGGAGGUGCACCGAAAACUGCGGAGCUGGAGCGCAGGAGAGGAAAGCAGAAUUCCUGGUGUAGCGGUGAAAUGCGUAGAUAUCAGGAGGAAUACCGGUGGUGAAGACGGCUUUCUGGACUGCUGCUGACGCUGGAUAACACGGAAAGCGUGGGGAGCAAACAGG
rnacentral:rRNA from 1 species